rnacentral:lncRNA from 12 species
AAACAAUUGUGGUAGAGAAGGUUUUCAACCUCUGCCUCUGCUUGCUGGCAUUCUGAGCAGAGUGCAGAGAUCUUCACAACAUUAUGGCAGCAAAUGAGGUCACGAUGAAACACCCACUGCAGCCACCUCGUGCUUUAAAGAUGUGAGAGGAUGAAACACAGGUCAGUUGGCUGCUGUAACAAGAAGUAAAAUAAAUAAACAAAAUAGAUAAAUUACCAAGAAAAAGUAAAAUGCUCCCUAUGCACCAGGAGUAAAA